rnacentral:rRNA from 1 species
GCCUACGGGACGCAGCAGUGGGGAAUAUUGCACAAUGGGCGAAAGCCUGAUGCAGCAACGCCGCGUGAAGGAAGAAGGGUUUCGGCUCGUAAACUUCUAUCAACAGGGACGAAAGAAAUGACGGUACCUGAAUAAGAAGCCCCGGCUAACUACGUGCCAGCAGCCGCGGUAAUACGUAGGGGGCAAGCGUUAUCCGGAAUUACUGGGUGUAAAGGGUGCGUAGACGGGCUAACAAGUUAGUUGUGAAAUCCCUCGGCUCAACUGAGGAACUGCAACUAAAACUAUUAGUCUUGAGUGCGGGAGAG